rnacentral:rRNA from 1 species
AACGAACGCUGGCGGCGUGCCUAACACAUGCAAGUCGAACGAGAAAGCCCUUCGGGGUGAGUACAGUGGCGCACGGGUGAGUAAUGCAUAGGAACAUGCCUUUUAGUGGGGAAUAACGUCGGGAAACCGACGCUAAUACCGCAUACACUGGCAACAGUAAAGGUGGCCUCUAUUUAUAAGCUACCGCUAAUAGAGUGGCCUAUGUCCCAUUAGCUUGUUGGUAAGGUAAAGGCUUACCAAGGCGACGAUGGGUAGCUGGUCUGAGAGGAUGAUCAGCCACACUGGAACUGAGACACGGUCCAGACUCCUACGGGGCAGCAGUGGGGAAUAUUGCACAAUGGGGGAAACCCUGAUGCAGCAACGCCGCGUGAGUGAAGAAGGCUCUCGGGUCGUAAAGCUCUUUCGGCUUGGGAAGCAGGGUAGUAUGGUGAAACAAUCAUGCUACUUGACGGUACCAGAAGAAGAAGCACCGGCUAAC